AUCCACUGGUCUAAGCAGACCGGGGAGCACGUGCUGCAGCACUGGAUCCAGCAUUUAAACAUGUGAACCCUUUCAUUCCCAAAUCCAC